CUGAGGUCGGGUGCUUAACUGACUGAGCCACCCAGGCGCCCCUAACUUUGCCCACCCUUAAAAAAAAAAAAAACAAAAGAUCCUGGCACUCCUAUCUGUUGAAGACAAGAUUUAUGCUUUAUCCUCUAAAGGGAGAUGCCUUCCAUCUCCACCGCCAACCCUCCCAACUGUUUCGCGUCUCCUGAGUACAUCUCUGCCACGCUGGGUCCUCAGGGUGGGCUGUCAGCCAAUUCCCCGAGCGUCAGGGUGUGGCAUAGCUUCCUCUCCCCCAAGGACAGGUGCAGAGGGAGCCGACAGGAUAUCUGUCAGGCCAGCAGGCAGAAAGCCAAUUGCCCUGUGGGCACUGUGAGGCUCGCCUUCGGAGCAGACCUAAAACCUUCUCAUGUUCCAUCUUGAUGUUUGGUCACUGUUUUGUAAAGAAAUGGCCUUACUCAGGUUUCUACCUAUACCCUCUAAUCCUCGUCCCGUGGAAGAUUUAAAAGUACAAAGCUAAGCUGCCUGUCUGUCUACCUGUGCACAGGCACACAGAAACAUUUUAAAAACUCUCACUGGCUUCUCCACCGCCUCUGGCCCCUGCUUCUCCUCCUUGACAGCUACAGGCUCUGCCUCAAUACCUCCGACACCAUCUUAGUCCUGAAACACCUCACUGUCUCCUUCCUGGGUGCCGUGGUCACUGCUGUCUCCAAACCACGCCUGCUUGAGCCUCUGCAGGUCUGCCUUCUCUUCUCCAGCACAGGAAAGGCUGGUUAUUCGGAGUGCUUUGGGGCUUUGACACUUUCUCCUCUUAUAAGUUUGCGUUUGAUGCCAGCCUGCAGGUUUCUUUUCCACAUUACGGCUCUUUUGACAGCCACCAGAGGCGGGGUUUGGGGGGAGCCACAGAUCUCUGGCUUAAUAACGCAGUAUCUUCCAGGUAUGAAGCAAGAGGACAGAAUUCCCAUGCCAUGAAUGCUUCUUGUCACUGGAUAAAGCCCAAAUCUCCAGAAUGCGGCCUUCUGUGUUUAUGUGACUAUAGAUUCUUGAUAUCUUCGAAUUCCCAGUAAGCAUGCAAUUUCCAGAUCUAAACUAUCCUUAUAGUUUUCUCCAAGUAUGCUGCAAACAUACCUGUUCCUCUCUUGUGUUUAUGAAAACAAGAUGUGAAGACUUGUCUUCACAGAAAA